rnacentral:rRNA from 1 species
UACGUAGGGGGCAAGCGUUGUCCGGAAUUAUUGGGCGUAAAGAGCGCGUAGGCGGUCCGAUAAGUCGGCUGUGAAAGUCAGGGGCUCAACCCUUGGAAGCCGGCCGAUACUGUCGGACUAGAGUCCGGAAGAGGCGAGUGGAAUUCCCGGUGUACGCGGUGAAAUGCGCAGAUAUCGGGAGGAACGACCAAUGGCGCAAGGC